UGUCCAGCAACUCCUAUCCCUACCUCCUCGUGGUACCGGCCGGAAACUAUGAGCAACCUUAGGAAAGAUCGGAUAAUCAACCCCGGUGGGAACUUUGGUCGUAGGCUGACAGGGAAGG
rfam:Aedes albopictus isolate Foshan contig13342, whole genome shotgun sequence.